UAGGGAAUAUUGGACAAUGGGGGCAACCCUGAUCCAGCCAUGCCGCGUGAGUGAAGAAGGCCCUCGGGUUGUAAAGCUCUUUUGUCCGGAAAGAAAAGCUUCGGGUUAAUACCCCGGGGUUCUGACGGUACCGUAAGAAGAAGCACCGGCUAACUACGUGCCAGCAGCCGCGGUAAUACGUAGGGUGCGAGCGUUAAUCGGAAUUACUGGGCGUAAAGCGUGCGCAGGCGGUUUUGUAAGACAGAUGUGAAAUCCCCGGGCUUAACCUGGGAACUGCGUUUGUGACUGCAAGGCUGGAGUACGGCAGAGGGGGGUGGAAUUCCACGUGUAGCAGUGAAAUGCGUAGAGAUGUGGAGGAACACCGAUGUCGAAGGCAGCCCCCUGGGCCUGUACUGACGCUCAUGCACGAAAGCGUGGGGAGCAAACA
rnacentral:rRNA from 1 species